UCUGAAUUCAUGUUUUUUCAGUUCAUUUAAACCAUUGAUUUCCUCACCAGGAUGCUGCAGAUCAUUCGUUUGGUCAGUUUUGCUCCAAUUAAAUUGUUUUAACAUCAACAUUUCAACCUCUUUUUGCUCGUAUUCACAUGGAGAACUUCUAAGUGGAUCACUGCUUCAACGCCUUCGGCUGCAUGUCUGAACUCCUGGGAGAGAAUUUUGACUUCAAUGGAAACAGCAAGUCGCAUUAUCGGAAGGAUUCGGUCCUCAUGGGGAGAGUGAAGAACGACCUGCACAGACUCGACUUUAAAGUAUGUCAGCAGUCGUACAAGUGGACGAGGAUGAAGCGCUACGCCGGCCUGAUGUCAGACGUUCUCCACGAAGUUCCUCCUCAGCUGCUUGGUUCUUUACUGCAUGAAGAGCUGACAGAUCAGACGGACCGGCUGCUGUUUCCUGAAGCAAACACAGGGGGCGCUCUGGCUUUUAUCCCGUUCAAGCAGAGCGACUCCCAGCAUGGCUGCCUCCUCUACCCAGAAAACCCGGGACUGGACCUCCUCAGUAUCCUGAAGAAAAAAAUAAGUUUUAAGGCAAAGAUUCAACUUUUCUUUAAUGUUCCAGGUGUGAAAAGUACAAAACGUUCAACUACGAAGAAAUUUCCAGUAAUUUGUAGUAAAAUAUUUUAAUGUUUCCUUUAGCAAUUUCUCGAGAUCGCCACAAGUAUUCUGUGCUUUAAUAUUGAUCAGCUUUCAUAAUAUCUGCAGUAGUUGUUAUAAAGUUUACAAAAUUAUGUAAGAUUUUUCCAUUUUUUUAGCCAGAAAUGUUGAUAUUCUGAUUUUAUCGCCCCUCUGUGAGGAGUUGCUGCUCCUAUCUGAUGGAGAUUAUACAGAUUUUUAAAAUUAUAGUAGAUAAUACCAACAAUUUAACAAUUUUAGUCAAAAUAUCUGAACUAUGUGCGCUAUAAAACCUCUUUAUUCAGAAUGAGAAUCUAACUUGUGACACUUCUGAGAGCAAAGUGAUGUUUAAUAUCUUGUUUUGUCCAAAAACAAUCAGUCUACUGAGAAAAAAACUGACAAUACUCACUUUUGAUAAGCUGCUGUGUGAGAAUUCAGACUGUUUUUAUCAAAAAUUUGUCUGGAAUUAUCAGAAUAGUUGGUAAAUAAUUGAAAAGUUGAAGAUGGUUGUAGCUCUACUUAUGUCGUACAGUUAAACCUUCUCAGCUCCUUUGACCUUUUAAAUGCUUGUGAAUCUUUAAAUUUUCAGAUUUUUUUUUUCCAUAUUUGCAUCAAAAAUUGACAGUUUGAUGUUCUCUAGCACUGAACUUGGCUUUUUUGCCCUGUUUCCUGGAAAAAAAAAACGACAAAUCUGAAGAGACUUCUCAAAAGUGUAACUCAGAUUGUGUAGAGGAACUCAUCGAUUUACCAAAAAACAGAAUAAAAAUGACGCUUUUGCUUGAAAAACAACUAAAAUGAUUAAUCAUCGUUUCAAAAUUGCUUUAAAACCAUGUUAAGAACCUCAAUUAGCCAUUUUAAAUAAUAAUCUCUUUACACUUUUAAAGUUGCACUUUCGUUCUUUCACCGAAAACAAGGAAUCUGAAGCAUCGUCUUAGCCUUUUAGAAACAUAUUUAGCCUGAUAUUUUGUAGAGAAAACCAUCAAUUAACCCAGAAAACAUGUAUAUCAUUGGAGUAGGUUCUGUACUCAAAUAACUCAUAACUAACACUUAGUUUGCUGUCAUAAUGGCAAAGAAAAGUCCCAAAAUGACAGAUUUUGCUCAAAUCGGUUUUGUCUCCGCUCGUGUUGCUUCCAACCGACGAACCGAGCUAACCGGUCAGCUGAUCAUGAGACCACCGACAGCUGCGCAAGGUGUCGUGAUUUCAAAGUAAGAGCCUGUACUAACGGUCUGUAUAUAAAAUAAUUGAAUAAAUAAUAAUAAACUAAUCAGAGCCGGCCCAAGGCAUAAGCGAGUUAAGCGGUUGCUUAGGGCCCACCACCACCAGGGGGCCCCCCAGAGUCCUUAAUAAAAAGCAAGUGUAAUUGUAAAAAAAAUUAGAAAAAAAACAAAACAAUGGAUAACCAUUGUUCCGGGUUGUACAACAAUAAUUUUGGUAUAAUUUUCUAAUGCCAGCUAGGUUGCCAAGUAUGUCAACCUUCGAUGGUAUCAAUAAGUGGACCUAGUUACUCCUGCGGCAGAAUACCUUAGCGGCUGCGCAAGUUCAGUACAGUGUCAUUGCUCAAUGGCGGACAGAAGCAAACAGAAAUGUUGCCGUCCAAGAAAAUGUACCUCUCAGGGGCACAAAAAAGAAAGAGAAAACGGUUGGAGGAGCAGGAAAAGAAAAACAAGGAUAAAGGUAGGUUGUAUGACUUUUUUGUUUUGAUAAAUGUUGUGAGCAUAGCAAGUUUAGGGCUCAGUCUGAGUCUUGUUUGCCACGGCGCCUUUCUCUCCUCCGGUUGGAUAUUUGGUAAUUGCAAUUACAUUUUCUAACCUUUAAUAUAUAACAAAUCCCUUCACUUAACCCAAAAUGAUCUAAAUCCUCGACUCUAAACAUAACCGGAAUUAAAACCCGUUAAGGUUCAGCGGCCCGCUGGCGGGCCGUUUUGAUAUUUACAUAAGCAUUUUUCGAAAUAGAACGACACUGCCAACUCAAUGAUAGAAACAUUAUACACCGAUGGAAAGCUUAGAUUCUCACGAAUCCGCCGGUAUAAACCACUUUCAGAUGUGAUUACCGCAGCGGGUAAUAUAAACACAUUUAUCCAACAAACAACCAAUAUCCAUCCGUUCUCUAUACACGGCUUUAACGUACACAGCACGACUCACAUUUGCGGGUUCAUUAUUACACACAGAUGAAAAGAGAAAGAGAGCAGAAAAAGCAAAAAGAAAGCAAAGAUUUUAGUGUUCUAGAGAACUUGUUUUUUUAUGUAUGUUAUAAAAUCAAAAUAUUUUGAAUUGUCCUUUUGGAAAAGAUCUUCCAUGUAUAAUAAUAUAAACAUGUCAUGUGCCUUUUCAAAUAUGAAAAUAUGUUUUUCUGGCAUGCCAAUCUGUACUCUGUUUUACAAUCAUUUGUAAUAAAAAGUAAGCUAAGCAACCUUAAAGGUAAUUUCUGUUAAAAGAUAAAGGAAACUUUAAAAAAAAACAUCUAAAUGAACUUCCAACAUCAACAUAGUCAAUAAUGAUCAAAGAACUUGAUUACAUUACUUGAGUAAAAGUAAAUUGGGUCAAAAUUUACCCCAAUAAAUGUAAAAGUAAUUCAGUGAAGUGAAAGUAAAGAAGCAUUUGCUGUAAAGUAAAAGCAUAAAAACUGCUGAAAUACAUGCUAUGAAUUAUAAUUUUGGGACUUAAAAAUUACUACCAGUAUGAUUUCCUGCAUGGUAACACAGCUGGGUUUAUUGAGAAAAUUAUAAACAACACUUGACAUUGACUGUGGUCACAACAGGCACAAAGCACUUAAGCCUACAUUUUAAUGAUAAUAUAACAUUCAAUUUAUCACAUGUAGGCCUACUUUCUCUGUCAAACAAAAACACUUUCAAGUCUAUUUGUAUUUAUUUUUAGACAUACAGUUUUAAAAAAUAGUUGCAUUACCUUCAGUCAAGCUCAUUCAUCACAAAUUGUUUCAAACUUUAUUGUUCAUUGGCUGCAGUACAUUUCUUAAUCCACUCGUGGCACCAAUUAGUCAAACCGACACUGCGUGAUACAUGAACGAUACAAUGAGGGAAAAGUGUGACACACACGAUGGGGUCUCAUCUACCCAUCACUACUUGACAUAUAUUCAGAUUUUGCACUGAAGUCGUUCGUGGGGGGCCCCCAAGGUAAAUUUUGCUUAGGGCCCACUGAAGGCUUGGGCCGGCCCUGGCUGCCAUUGAAUACACAGAAAUAUUGCAUUUCGCAAUAAAAUCUCAGAGACUUGUCCGAUUUGAAUGAUCUUGGUGUCAAAUCAUACAUUUUUGACUAUGUAGAAUCUGAAUUUGGAAUCAUUUACCUACUCACAGGCUUCCUUCUACCAUAAAAUCAGUCCCUGUGAACUGUCAACUGUGAAUAUAAUCCAAACUAAAUAUUGUACCAGACUGACCAGUGAGCUCCAAAUGUGUUUGAGAACGACUCUGACACCAUUCAGACCACGAUUCAAAAUACUGACAGGACAACCUGCAGCUCAUUUCUCCCAUUAAGCAGCAGGAAUAUAAGGGGAGAGAUACGAGACGGGAAAAAAUAUGAAAGUAUUCAAUUCAGUGGUGUAGCUUCUGUGGGGGCAUGGGGGGGGGCAGUGGUCCCCCCUGUGAUCUGAUUGCCCCCCUGCAAAAAAAAAAAUAAUUUUUUUUUUCAUUGGAAAUUUGCAUCACUGAAACUCCGAUUUCCGACGCUCAGGAAGCAACUUUGUUGUCCGACUGCACCUGAAUGCACCAAUGACGUUAGUUUGAUCUUUUGAUUGUAUUUCGUUUGGAUUUGAAGAAGCUUUGAAGACGUUUCCUGAUGGAGGAGAAGAUGAGCAACUUUGUACGUUUGGACCUGCAACACAAGAACAUCUGCUCACUGUGAAAGAUUAUUGAGAGCAGCUUUUUGUGAUUUCUAAGCAGAACACUAUGAUGUUUGCUGAGCUGUGAACUAUUAAAUGACUUUAGAAUAUG